UGAUAUUGUUUAGUGUUGAACAGCUAAGUAUGCCGUUUAGAGUUGAAUUGUACUGAUAUUUGCAAUAUCCUUUGAAAUACAAAAAUAAUAAGAUGAUGGAUGGGUCCCCUCUGAUAAUCCCUGUUACGCCUUCAAUCUGUGGCCCACAUUUUCACAACUCUGUUCUUUGGACCUCCAUGUUUAGGGAUGGUAACAGUUUUCAAACAUUUCGAGACUCUCUAUGCCACCAUACAUAUUGUUGUAUUUUACUUCAAAAUUUUCCCACACUUCUACAAAUAGCCCUGUAUUGGAAUAACACACAAAUUCUAGUUGCGUGUUUCAUGUUUCCUGGCAGCGCCCUGACUGAGAAAGUCAUUGGUAGGUACCAGGGAGUACUCCAGGAAACGUACCCUGCAGAUGGGAUUUUCCGAUUGGAUUGUGACAAAUCGGUGACACAUAAUGCCCUCCUUGCUCAUGAUAAAGGGCACAGACAGUCUAUCCAUUCUUCAUCCUUGUGCAGUGUGCUGGAGGACCAGUGGAUGGCAAGUGAAGGGGAGAUCAACUCGCUCCAGCUCUUCAUCCCUGAGGCAGCCAUGUUGCUGUUACUGGGACUCAGGCAGAGUGCUGACUGCUCUCAAACCCUGUUGUCUUCAUCCAGGAUUUAGUUACAAUGUGAAUCACAAAGUGCUCAACAAACACAGAAUGGAUGAGGAGAAGAAGAAAUAGGAGGAGAAGGAGGAAGCAGCGGAGGAGGAGCGGUAGCAGCAGCAGCAGCCCUGGUAUUAACAGUAGUUGUAAAAGCAAUGCUUUAAAAUGUCCCGGGCAUUGUUGUGUUAAAUGCUUUAAUUGCAUCCUUUUACUUCAUCGUCACUACAACCCAUGAGAUAGGGACAUUUAUUUUCCUCAUCAUAGAGAGUAGGAACCUGAGGUUCCAAGAAGUAAGACCACCCAGGGAGCACCUGGUCAGCAGGAUGAAGAUGCGAGAGGGGCGUGCGCCGUGCG
rnacentral:lncRNA from 1 species